rnacentral:rRNA from 1 species
UCUAGUAUAAGCAUCUAUACGGUGAAACUGCGAAUGGCUCAUUAAAUCAGUUAUCGUUUAUUUGAUAGUACCUUACUACUUGGAUAACCGUGGUAAUUCUAGAGCUAAUACAUGCUAAAAACCUCGACUUCGGAAGGGGUGUAUUUAUUAGAUAAAAAACCAAUGCCCUUCGGGGCUCCUUGGUGAUUCAUAAUAACUUAACGAAUCGCAUGGCCUUGUGCCGGCGAUGGUUCAUUCAAAUUUCUGCCCUAUCAACUUUCGAUGGUAGGAUAGUGGCCUACCAUGGUUUCAACGGGUAACGGGGAAUUAGGGUUCUAUUCCGGAGAGGGAGCCUGAGAAACGGCUACCACAUCCAAGGAAGGCAGCAGGCGCGCAAAUUACCCAAUCCCGACACGGGGAGGUAGUGACAAUAAAUACUGAUACAGGGCUCUUUUGGGUCUUGUAAUUGGAAUGAGUACAAUUUAAAUCCCUUAACGAGGAACAAUUGGAGGGCAAGUCUGGUGCCAGCAGCCGCGGUAAUUCCAGCUCCAAUAGCGUAUAUUAAAGUUGUUGCAGUUAAAAAGCUCGUAGUUGAACCUUGGGCCUGGUUGGUCGGUCCGCCUCACCGCGUGCACUGAUCCGACCGGGUCUUUCCUUCUGGGGAGCCGCAUGCCCUUCACUGGGUGUGUCGGGGAACCAGGACUUUUACUUUGAAAAAAUUAGAGUGUUCAAAGCAGGCCUAUGCUCGAAUACAUUAGCAUGGAAUAAUAGAAUAGGACGUGUGGUUCUAUUUUGUUGGUUUCUAGGACCGCCGUAAUGAUUAAUAGGGAUAGUCGGGGGCAUCAGUAUUCCGUUGUCAGAGGUGAAAUUCUUGGAUUUACGGAAGACUAACUACUGCGAAAGCAUUUGCCAAGGAUGUUUUCAUUAAUCAGUGAACGAAAGUUAGGGGAUCGAAGACGAUCAGAUACCGUCGUAGUCUUAACCAUAACUAUGCCGACUA